AGAGUUUGAUCCUGGCUCAGGAUGAACGUUGGCGGCGUGCCUUACCAAUGCGAGUCGAACGGUACGGGGAGGCUCUUCGGAGCGCCCACGACCGUGGCGUCCGGGUGCGUAACACGUAGCUAACCUACCGGCCGGUGGGGGAAAACUCCGGGAAACCGGAGGUAAUCCCGCAUGGGGUCGCCUGGUAGACAGGUGGACGAAAGCUGUGGCAGGGGAACCUGUCAUGGCGCCGGCUGAGGGGGCUGCGGCCGAUUAGCUAGUUGGUGGGGUAAUGGCUCACCAAGGCAGUGAUCGGUAGCGGGUCUGAGAGGAUGAUCCGCCACACGGGGACUGAGAUAUGGUCCCGAGCCCUACGGGGUUUAGCAUGGAGGAAUCUUGCGCAAUGGGCGAAAGCCUGACGCAGCGACGCCGCGUGGGGGAUGAAGGCCUUCGGGUCGUAAACCCCUUUUCUGGGGGACGAUUUUGACGGUACCCCAGGAAGAAGCCACGGCUAACAGGGUGCCAGCAGCCGCGGUAAUACCUUGGUGGCAAACGUUAUCCGGAAUCACUGGGCGUAAAGCGCUCGUAGGCGGCUUGGCAGGUGUUCGGUGAAAGCCCCCGGCUCACCCGGGGAGGGUCCGAGCAAACCACCAGGCUGGAGGCAGGCAGAGGACCGUGGAACGUCCGGGGGAGUAGUGGAAUGCGUAGAUCCCGGACGGAACACCAGAGGCGAAGGCGGCGGUCUGGGCCUGACCUGACGCUGAGGGGCGAAAGCGCGGGGAGCAAACAGGAUUAGAUACCCUGGUAGUCCGCGCUGUAAACGAUGGACGCUAGGUGUGUGGGGGGCUCAACCCCCCUGCGUGCCGGAGCUAACGCGGUAAGCGUCCCGCCUGGGGACUACGGUCGCAAGACUAAAACUCAAAGGAAUUGACGGGUGCCCGCACAAGCAGCGGAGCGUGUGGUUCAAUUCGAGGCUACGCGAAGAACCUUACCGGGGUUUGACAUUACGCGGCUAUCCCGCGAAAUCGGGAGUUCCUUCGGGACCGCGUAACAGGUGCUGCAUGGCUGUCGUCAGCUCGUG
rnacentral:rRNA from 1 species